UACAGAGGGGGCAAGCGUUGUUCGGAAUUACUGGGCGUAAAGGGUGCGUAGGCGGGUCUUUAAGUCAGGGGUGAAAUCCUGGAGCUCAACUCCAGAACUGCCUUUGAUACUGAGGAUCUUGAGUCCGGGAGAGGUGAGUGGAACUGCGAGUGUAGAGGUGAAAUUCGUAGAUAUUCGCAAGAACACCAGUGGCGAAGGCGGCUCACUGGCCCGAUACUGACGCUGAGGCACGAAAGCGUGGGGAGCAAACAGG
rnacentral:rRNA from 1 species